rnacentral:rRNA from 1 species
GAUUAAGUUAUUAAGGGCGCACGGUGGAUGCCUUGGCACUAGAAGCCGAUGAAGGACGUUACUAACGACGAUAUGCUUUGGGGAGCUGUAAGUAAGCUUUGAUCCAGAGAUUUCCGAAUGGGGAAACCCAGCAUGAGUUAUGUCAUGUUAUCGAUAUGUGAAUACAUAGCAUAUCAGAAGGCACACCCGGAGAACUGAAACAUCUUAGUACCCGGAGGAAGAGAAAGAAAAUUCGAUUCCCUUAGUAGCGGCGAGCGAAACGGGAAGAGCCCAAACCAACAAGCUUGCUUGUUGGGGUUGUAGGACACUCUAUACGGAGUUACAAAGGACGACAUUAGACGAAUCAUCUGGAAAGAUGAAUCAAAGAAGGUAAUAAUCCUGUAGUCGAAAAUGUUGUCUCUCUUGAGUGGAUCCUGAGUACGACGGAGCACGUGAAAUUCCGUCGGAAUCUGGGAGGACCAUCUCCUAAGGCUAAAUACUCUCUAGUGACCGAUAGUGAACCAGUACCGUGAGGGAAAGGUGAAAAGCACCCCGGAAGGGGAGUGAAAUAGAACCUGAAACCGUGUGCUUACAAGUAGUCAGAGCCCGUUAAUGGGUGAUGGCGUGCCUUUUGUAGAAUGAACCGGCGAGUUACGAUUUGAUGCAAGGUUAAGCAGUAAAUGUGGAGCCGUAGCGAAAGCGAGUCUGAAUAGGGCGUUUAGUAUUUGGUCGUAGACCCGAAACCAGGUGAUCUACCCUUGGUCAGGUUGAAGUUCAGGUAACACUGAAUGGAGGACCGAACCGACUUACGUUGAAAAGUGAGCGGAUGAACUGAGGGUAGCGGAGAAAUUCCAAUCGAACCUGGAGAUAGCUGGUUCUCUCCGAAAUAGCUUUAGGGCUAGCCUCAAGUGAUGAUUAUUGGAGGUAGAGCACUGUUUGGACGAGGGGCCCCUCUCGGGUUACCGAAUUCAGACAAACUCCGAAUGCCAAUUAAUUUAACUUGGGAGUCAGAACAUGGGUGAUAAGGUCCGUGUUCGAAAGGGAAACAGCCCAGACCACCAGCUAAGGUCCCAAAAUAUAUGUUAAGUGGAAAAGGAUGUGGCGUUGCCCAGACAACUAGGAUGUUGGCUUAGAAGCAGCUAUCAUUUAAAGAGUGCGUAAUAGCUCACUAGUCGAGUGACACUGCGCCGAAAAUGUACCGGGGCUAAACAUAUUACCGAAGCUGUGGAUUGUCCUUUGGACAAUGGUAGGAGAGCGUUCUAAGGGCGUUGAAGCAUGAUCGUAAGGACAUGUGGAGCGCUUAGAAGUGAGAAUGCCGGUGUGAGUAGCGAAAGACGGGUGAGAAUCCCGUCCACCGAUUGACUAAGGUUUCCAGAGGAAGGCUCGUCCGCUCUGGGUUAGUCGGGUCCUAAGCUGAGGCCGACAGGCGUAGGCGAUGGAUAACAGGUUGAUAUUCCUGUACCACCUAUAAUCGUUUUAAUCGAUGGGGGGACGCAGUAGGAUAGGCGAAGCGUGCGAUUGGAUUGCACGUCUAAGCAGUAAGGCUGAGUAUUAGGCAAAUCCGGUACUCGUUAAGGCUGAGCUGUGAUGGGGAGAAGACAUUGAGUCUUCGAGUCGUUGAUUUCACACUGCCGAGAAAAGCCUCUAGAUAGAAAAUAGGUGCCCGUACCGCAAACCGACACAGGUAGUCAAGAUGAGAAUUCUAAGGUGAGCGAGCGAACUCUCGUUAAGGAACUCGGCAAAAUGACCCCGUAACUUCGGGAGAAGGGGUGCUCUUUAGGGUUAACGCCCAGAAGAGCCGCAGUGAAUAGGCCCAAGCGACUGUUUAUCAAAAACACAGGUCUCUGCUAAACCGUAAGGUGAUGUAUAGGGGCUGACGCCUGCCCGGUGCUGGAAGGUUAAGAGGAGUGGUUAGCUUCUGCGAAGCUACGAAUCGAAGCCCCAGUAAACGGCGGCCGUAACUAUAACGGUCCUAAGGUAGCGAAAUUCCUUGUCGGGUAAGUUCCGACCCGCACGAAAGGCGUAACGAUUUGGGCACUGUCUCAACGAGAGACUCGGUGAAAUCAUAGUACCUGUGAAGAUGCAGGUUACCCGCGACAGGACGGAAAGACCCCGUGGAGCUUUACUGUAGCCUGAUAUUGAAAUUCGGCACAGCUUGUACAGGAUAGGUAGGAGCCUUUGAAACGUGAGCGCUAGCUUACGUGGAGGCGCUGGUGGGAUACUACCCUAGCUGUGUUGGCUUUCUAACCCGCACCACUUAUCGUGGUGGGAGACAGUGUCAGGCGGGCAGUUUGACUGGGGCGGUCGCCUCCUAAAAGGUAACGGAGGCGCUCAAAGGUUCCCUCAGAAUGGUUGGAAAUCAUUCAUAGAGUGUAAAGGCAUAAGGGAGCUUGACUGCGAGACCUACAAGUCGAGCAGGGUCGAAAGACGGACUUAGUGAUCCGGUGGUUCCGCAUGGAAGGGCCAUCGCUCAACGGAUAAAAGCUACCCCGGGGAUAACAGGCUUAUCUCCCCCAAGAGUUCACAUCGACGGGGAGGUUUGGCACCUCGAUGUCGGCUCAUCGCAUCCUGGGGCUGUAGUCGGUCCCAAGGGUUGGGCUGUUCGCCCAUUAAAGCGGUACGCGAGCUGGGUUCAGAACGUCGUGAGACAGUUCGGUCCCUAUCCGUCGUGGGCGUAGGAAAUUUGAGAGGAGCUGUCCUUAGUACGAGAGGACCGGGAUGGACAUACCUCUGGUGUACCAGUUGUCGUGCCAACGGCAUAGCUGGGUAGCUAUGUGUGGACGGGAUAAGUGCUGAAAGCAUCUAAGCAUGAAGCCCCCCUCAAGAUGAGAUUUCCCAACUUCGGUUAUAAGAUCCCUCAAAGAUGAUGAGGUUAAUAGGUUCGAGGUGGAAGCAUGGUGACAUGUGGAGCUGACGAAUACUAAUCGAUCGAAGACUUAAUCAA